AUUGAACGCUGGCGGCAGGCCUAACACAUGCAAGUCGAGCGGAGCGGCGGACGGGUGAGUAAUGCCUAGGAAUCUGCCUGGUAGUGGGGGAUAACGUCCGGAAACGGGCGCUAAUACAGCAUACUAUCAGAUGAGCCUGGGUCGGAUUAGCUAGUUGGGGGGGUAAAGGCCAACAAAGGCGACGAUCCGUACCGGGUCUGAGAGGAUGAGCAGUCACACUGGAACUGAGACACGGUCCAGACUCCUACGGGAGGCAGAGGUGGGGAAUAUGGGACAAUGGGCGAAAGCCUGAUCCAGCAAUGCCGCGUGUGGGAAGAAGGUCUUCGGAUUGUAAAGCACUUUAAGUUGGGAGGCGUGACCAACAGAAGAAGCACCGGCUAACUUCGUGCCAGCAGCCGCGGUAAUAC
rnacentral:rRNA from 1 species